rnacentral:tRNA from 1 species
GCUCCAGUAGCGCAAUGGGUUAGCGCAUGGUACUUAUAAUGCCAAGGUUGURAGUUCAAACCUCACCUGGAGCA